AUGAUAAAACAUUGCAGAUAAGGCGAAUACGGCCAGAUACAGGAAAAGGAUAAUGCCAAGUUCAGCUUGGGAUAGAAUGUGAAGUUAAGUUGUAAAGUAUGUUGAAGAAUAGUAUUGUCAUGUGUUAGACAGUCAUGAUUGUGUAUACGUUAAGGUUACUCGAUUUUGGGAAUAGUGUGUAAAGUUUAAUGUAUAAACAAUUUAUGUUUAUA
rnacentral:lncRNA from 1 species